rnacentral:rRNA from 1 species
GUAGGUGGCAAGCGUUGUCCGGAAUUAUUGGGCGUAAAGCGCGCGCAGGCGGUUCUUUAAGUCUGAUGUGAAAGCCCACGGCUCAACCGUGGAGGGUCAUUGGAAACUGGAGAACUUGAGUACAGAAGAGGAAAGCGGAAUUCCACGUGUAGCGGUGAAAUGCGUAGAGAUGUGGAGGAACACCAGUGGCGAAGGCGGCUUUCUGGUCUAUAACUGACGCUGAGGCGCGAAAGCGUGGGGAGCAAACAGGGAUUAGAUACCCUGGUAGUCCACGCCGUAAACGAUGAGUGCUAAGUGUUAGGGGGGUUUCCGCCCCCUUAGUGCUGCAGCUAACGCAUUAAGCACUCCGCCUGGGGAGUACGGCCGCAAGGCUG